GACGAGCCACACGAACGUUAUUCGGAAUUACUGGGCUUAAAGGGUGCGUAGGCGGUGCGGAAAGUUGGGUGUGAAAUCCCUCGGCUCAACCGAGGAACUGCGCUCAAAACUACCGUACUUGAGGAAGAUAGAGGUGAGCGGAACUUACGGUGGAGCGGUGAAAUGCGUUGAUAUCGUAAGGAACACCCGUGGCGAAAGCGGCUCACUGGACCAUAACUGACGCUGAUGCACGAAAGCUGGGGGAGCAAACAGG
rnacentral:rRNA from 1 species